AUAUCUAGGUAAUAAACAGAGACAAACAAAAUGGCUCCUCAGUUGAAAGGACUGCUCUAUCGUUCCAUAAAGCGAGAUUUAGCCCUGGGGUUCUUGAUCUCUUUCUCCGCAGGUUCAGUCUGGUUGUUUGGAGUCUUUUUCCCGAGGAGGAAGAGAUACGAGGACUUCUAUAAAAACUAUGACGCCAAAGCAGUCGCCGAGUCUAUGAAAGCUUCUUGGGAAGAGUGAAGGAUUUGUGUAGUCUCUCACUGUCUCAAACUGAACUAGUUGCAAACUUUCAAUGUACUUAUAGCUUAAUGACAUUAUCUAGUAGACUAGAGUAUUUUAUUAUUAAUAAUUUAUCAUAAUAAUAA
rnacentral:lncRNA from 1 species